AACGAACGCUGGCGGCAGGCUUAACACAUGCAAGUCGAACGGGCGUGGCAAUACGUCAGUGGCAGACGGGUGAGUAACACGUGGGAAUAUCCCUCUCAGUUCGGAAUAACUCAGGGAAACUUGAGCUAAUACCGGAUACGUCCUUCGGGAGAAAGAUUUAUCGCUGAGAGAUUAGCCCGCGUCUGAUUAGCUAGUUGGUGAGGUAAUGGCUCACCAAGGCGACGAUCAGUAGCUGGUCUGAGAGGAUGAUCAGCCACACUGGGACUGAGACACGGCCCAGACUCCUACGGGAGGCAGCAGUGGGGAAUAUUGGACAAUGGGGGCAACCCUGAUCCAGCCAUGCCGCGUGAGUGAUGAAGGCCUUAGGGUUGUAAAGCUCUUUUGCCAGGGAAGAUAAUGACUGUACCUGGAGAAUAAGCCCCGGCUAACUUCGUGCCAGCAGCCGCGGUAA
rnacentral:rRNA from 1 species